GCGGCGACGGCAGCGGCUACGGGGUCUCCCGCGCGGCGCUUACGGGGCGGCGUGAGGCGGCACCGCCGCCAUCUUGGAGCUCGAGUGGCCGCGGGAGAAUGAUGGAAAUCCUUCCUGACUUAAAGCCUCCACAACUUUCUUUUGAAGAGGUAUUGAUAUUCUUAAAAACUGAGGAGUCCAGCUGCAAACAACAGUCAGGAAAAGGGCAUCGGUCCAUUAAAUGAUAAGGUCUAAGGGUGAACUUUCAAGGGACACCACUGGUAACUGCUGUCAGAUGGAGUGUGGCUCUUUAACCCCUUGGGCCUGUCAAGGUAGAGUUUCACCCUUUCAGCAGUCUGCCCAUCCACACUAUAACAUUCCAGUUUGGAUACAAGUGUGCUGUGGGAGACCGUGCUGAAAGCCCUCCUGAAGUCAAGGCAUGGCUCCUUGCAGACUUUCUCCGUUAUUGUCCCAGAGGACAAGCAGUGGUUCCAUGGAUCAUCAUUCUUGCCUUUCUUUAGCAUUAUGGGCUUUUGGAGAGAUUGAAGUGUGAAAUCAGCCUUUCACUUCACAGCUAAGAGAUUUGACAUAGUCCAUAGUGAUACACCCCCUACAAACUGGAACUAAAAAGUCUGUAAACAGUUAUUGAUUUCCACAUGCUACUGGGGAAAUUUUCCAAGAUCAGUGACAGCUGGGAAAUCACUGGCAUUUUAAAAUUAUAGAUCACUGAUUCACUUUUUCGGCAUUUUCAGUAUUGCAUUAUGGCAAUAAACAUGCUAGAUGUGUAUUAAAAAAACCAAAAUGCUUUUAGCAUUUUAGUAUUUUUUUGUUUGAGCAGUAUUACAGAUGAAAAUUUCUUGAUACAAUUCAAAAUAAUGGGUUUGUUUAUUAAAGAUAUAUACCCAUUAAGAUGAAGUUAGGAUGAGGAAAAUGCUUGUUUGUGUGAAAAUAAUAUCUGCUUUUUCAACAACAGCAUCUCCUGAGGUUUCUUUGAUUCAUAUCUGAUUACUUUAAUGACUAAACCAGGUUUUAACUCCUGUUAGCACUGCAGAAUACAGAGAAUUGUAGAAGACUAAAAUGUAUUUUGCCCUCCCAAGUCAUUGUCAACGCAACUCUCAGCAUCAUUUCAUCCACAGUCUGUCGUGCCAUGAGGCCUGUAAGAGGUAUGUUAUUCCACCAGUACAAAGAAGACAAGCAAGAAGGAAGUUAAUAAAGUGGAAUUUUCUUUGUUACAGAGGCUGUCUUUGAAGGGAUUGUAAUGGCAGGUAUAGCUCUGCCAAGUAGAAAUGAUUCUGGAGACGCUGCAGAAGGUGGAGGCUUUCCUGUGAUGAACGUGGAGGCAGUCCGGAGGGGUUAGGUAAAGCCAGGCUGCAGCCACUGCAAAAGGAUCUUCUGAAAAAGAUCUGCAAGAUGGAUUUGUCAUUGAAUUUAUAGCUACAUGGAUGCGUGUGUACCUGUCAUUAAAUUUGCAUUAGUUCAACUAUAUAUAUCUAAUAUAUAUAAAAUAAGUAUCACUAUUACUUGUAAGUAAGCUUGCUUUAAAAGAACAUUUUGAAAUAAUAUAUGGUUAAUGAUAUGAAUUCCUAGGAAUCUACUAUAGAGGAGAUGGCUCAAAGUCAAGAGAAUUUGUUCAGUGAAACCAAAGGAUAUGAGAGUGCCUGGAGCAUCACAGUGAUGGGCAAAUAACGUACCACCAGAUAGGGGGAAUAUCCAUCAGGCUUGUCCUGCUGCUGCCACUUUCCUAACAAAUACUGAAUAGCUAUCAAGCUUCAGUCGCUAUUGAAAACUGGCUGUGUUACUGAAAGUAUUCUCUUGACCUCUGCAGUGUGUUAUUACAAAAAGAAGGGCAUAAUUGACUUAUUGAAUCCACAAUUAUUUGUUCUUGCUGUUGUCCCAUAACAGCAUGGAUUAUAAACCUUAUGUCCUAGGCAGGCAGGCAAAACUCUGUUACCUUAGUCCUGCUGUUUAAUUAGUGUUUACAAUUGGACGUUGUUUAUAUACCAAUAAAUGUUGCCUGAAUGAAGACUUCCCCUUAACCAAUUAUACCAGAUGUUUCUCUGUGAAGGUCCUAAUUAAACAGCAUCUCUUCUUGUGUUUGCUUUAAUCCUGCCUCUUGUGUGGAUCUCUGUCAGAGUGCAUCACUACACUGGGACACUUUACCCACAUUUCUGUCCCUUUCAGGUUCACUGGCUGGUGGCAGCUGCUCCCUUUAAAAGUUCUUGCUUACUGUAUGGGAAGAAGGUUCUGAUGGGUAACCUUGAGAGCUGGGAAUCCAAAUCCAUUCCUUUUUCUAUAGUGGGAUUCUCAAGUGAUUGCUAAGUGACAUAUGACCCCAUCAGGAUGCUAUAACUUCAGGUGGCUGAUGGGGUCACUGCUCUAGUGUCCAAAUCUGCAGUUUCCAGCCCAGAAUUUUCAGCAAAGGGGGAAUUUACUUGGAAGCCCUCCUCUAUAGACAUUGUCAAGUUGCAGAUCCUGUGCCUGGUUUGUGAGCAGCUCUGCCCUCCAUCACAAUUUUGGCAGUUUCGGGAAUGGUCAAGGAUAGCUGUCCUGGACAGUGCUGUGCCCACUCCUUAGUCAGACCCUCAGUAUUCUUGAGCUUCCCUUCUCCUGUAUAAUGGUCCAUUACUUUCUGGCAGUUAAGAUUUUAAGAGCUUUUCUAUUCCAGGUGCUUCUUCUAAGAGCUGAUUCCUAAGUUUCCAGCACUUUUGUGUGUGCUUAUAAUAUGAAAAGGAAAUCAGCUUCCUUUCUCUGGUACAGCACCCGCCAUCCUAAGUGAGUCAACGAGUUCCUAAAUGUAGUAUUUCAAUGCCACGUGAAAAAGUAAGGAGUGGGAGAUGUAUUAGUGGGAACACUGUCUCACUGCCAAUCCUUAUGGGUCAGAGGAUUAGGAAUACAGUAGCCCAUCUGUGCUUCACCGAAUAUCUCCAUUUAGAAGAUAAGAAUGAUAUGUAACUACAUUUUUUACUGUGUACUUCCUUCAUCCAAACUUCAAGUGACUCUAAUUUCAUAUUAGUGUCUUAAUUUUUAAAUUGUCCUUGAUUUCAAGAUGGAUUAGUUAGUAAUUACAUUAAAUUAUUUCUGCAGAUUCUGAUCCAAUAUAUACCCAUUCAUUUCUGUAAGAUAUUAAUUUAAAGGAUUUUUUUUUUCAUCUGUAGGGCCACUCUUGCAGG